UUUAAUUGAAGAGUUUGAUCAUGGCUCAGAUUGAACGCUGGCGGCAGGCUUAACACAUGCAAGUCGAGCGGUAACAC
rnacentral:rRNA from 1 species